rnacentral:rRNA from 1 species
CCUACGGGUGACAGCAGUGGGGGAUAUUGCACAAUGGGGGGAACCCUGAUGCAGCGACGCCGCGUGGGUGAAGAAGCGCCUCGGCGCGUAAAGCCCUGUCAGCAGGGGAGAAAAUGACGGUACCUGAAGAAGAAGCCCCGGAUAACUACGUGCCAGCAGCCGCGGUAAUACGUAGGCGGCAAGCGUUAUCCGGAUUUACUGGGUGUAAAGGGGGCGCAGACGGGUCUGAAAGCCAGGAGGGAAAGCCCGGGGUCCAACCCUGGCAUUGCACUUGGAACUGGGUGGCUGGAGUGCAGGUGGGGCAGGCGGAAUUCGUGGUGUAGCGGUGAAAUGCGUAGAUAUCAGGAGGAACACCGGUGGCGAAGGCGGCCUGCUGGACUGCAACUGACGUUGAGGCCCGAAAGCGUGGGGAGCAAACAGGAUUAGAUACCCUUGUAGUC